AACGAACGCUGGCGGCAUGCCUAACACAUGCAAGUCGAACGAGACCUUCGGGUCUAGUGGCGCACGGGUGCGUAACGCGUGGGAAUCUGCCCUUUGCUUCGGAAUAACAGUUAGAAAUGACUGCUAAUACCGGAUGAUGUCUUCGGACCAAAGAUUUAUCGGCAAAGGAUGAGCCCGCGUAGGAUUAGGUAGUUGGUGGGUAAAGGCCUACCAAGCCGACGAUCCUUAGCUGGUCUGAGAGGAUGAUCAGCCACACUGGGACUGAGACACGGCCCAGACUCCUACGGAGGCAGCAGUGGGAAUAUUGGACAAUGGGCGCAAGCCUGAUCCAGCAAUGCCGCGUGAGUGAUGAUGGCCU
rnacentral:rRNA from 1 species